AGCGAACGCUGGCGGCAGGCCUAACACAUGCAAGUCGAACGAACCUUUCGGGGUUAGUGGCGGACGGGUGAGUAACACGUGGGAACGUGCCUUUAGGUUCGGAAUAACUCAGGGAAACUUGUGCUAAUACCGAAUGUGCCCUUCGGGGGAAAGAUCUAUCGCCUUUAGAGCGGCCCGCGUCUGAUUAGCUAGUUGGUUGAGGUAAUGGCUCACCAAGGCGACGAUCAGUAGCUGGUCUGAGAGGAUGAUCAGCCACAUUGGGACUGAGACACGGCCCAAACUCCUACGGGAGGCAGCAGUGUGGAAUCUUGCGCAAUGGGCGAAAGCCUGACGCAGCCAUGCCGCGUGAAUGAUGAAGGUCUUAGGAUUGUAAAAUUCUUUCACCGGGGACGAUAAUGACGGUACCCGGAGAAGAAGCCCCGGCUAACUUCGUG
rnacentral:rRNA from 1 species